AUGAGCAAGGCAUUGUGUCCCAAAUUCCAGGGUCUGUCCACUUAUGAGAAAGAAUACCUCGCGGUGGUCGUGGCAGUUGACCAGUGGCGUCCUUAUCUCCAGCACAACGAGUUUGUGAUUCAAACUGAUCAGAGGAGUCUCACCCACCUUGAGGAGCAAAGAUUGACCACAUCUUGGCAGCAGAAAGCUUUUACUAAGCUACUGGGGCUCCGUUACAAAAUCAGAUACAGAAAAGGUGCAGAAAAUGGAGGAGCUGAUGCCUUGUCACAAGCCAUGCAUACUGACCAACUUCACACGGUAUCAUCUUGCACCCCUAGCUAG
rnacentral:rRNA from 1 species